AUGUCCUUGACCUUGGGCUACUUCUCUUCUGGGUCGGCAGCCGGCAGUUCAAGGAGGGAAAGGCGUCCUUCCUCAGCCCUGGCACACUUGGUCGCCAGGUUGAACAACUCCAGGGAGGUGCACAGGUCUUCAUGGAUCGCAAGCUCCUCCUUCAUCUUGACGUCACGCACGCCGUCGGAGAAGGCUGAGAUGAUGGCCUCCUCGGACACCCUGGGGAUCAUAAGGCGAGCAUUGUUGAAACGCUGGAUGAACUUCUGCAGGGUUUUCUCCAGACUGCUACUUGAUGCGGCGCAAGUCACUCAUGGCCGGGGGCCAGUCGCGGGUGCCCUGGAAGUUGGCGAUGAAUCAGGUGUGCAUCUCGUCCCAGGAGGAAAUCAUGCCAGGAGCCAGGUUCAGGAGCCAGGUGCGGGCACCGUCCUUGAGCGCCAUGGGAAACCAGUUGGCCAUGACCUUCUCGUCCCCGUUGGCGGCUUCGAUGCCCAGCUCAUAGAGCUGGAGGAACUCCGCAGGGUCAGUCGUGCCAUCGUAGCGCGGGGGCAGAUCUGGCUUGAACUUGCCCGACCAGGCCACGCUGUGCAGCUCGGCGAUGAAGGCACGGCACCCAGCAGUGGCCAUGGGAGGCCUUUGGUAAUGGCGAGCUUGAUAUUAUAA
rnacentral:rRNA from 1 species